rnacentral:lncRNA from 1 species
UGGUUUUUUUUUAAUUCUUCGCUCGCUAUGUACCGUGAACAGAAAAUCAUGUCCAAGUGAACACAGUCUAAAGAAGAAUGUAAAGCCAUAGUGAGUAUAGUUGAUGAGAGGGUGGAAGAGAAAGAAGAAAGAGUUAAGUUAGAAAAGAGAGAGGAAAAAGAAGAGAGCAUAUGUGAGGGUGAGACGAAAAAGAAAGAGAAAAACAGGGAAGAGAAAAAAAUUGAGAAAAAUGAAAAAGAUCUUCCUUAUUGUAGGGGGCGUGAGAGAAUUGAAAAAGAGAGAUAAUAUGAGCGUUUUAAGGAGAUUUUCAGGCAAUUGGAGAUCACAAUACCAGUGACCAAAGCACUGCAACAAAUUCCGGGUUGUCCUUGACAGAACCCUUAUGUGUGAGAACUUAUUUUCCUUUAUACUCUCUUUCUCUAUUUAUAUUAUUUUUGCAUGUCUCUCUCUAUUCUUUUUCAUUCCCCAUUUUCUAUAACAGGGUGCGUAUUU